GUUAGAGUGUAGAGGAGGCAGGUAGCCUAGUGGUUAGAGUGUAGAGGAGGCAGGUAGACUAGUGGUUAGAGUGUAGAGGAGGCAGGUAGACUAGUGGUUAGAGGAGGCAGGUAGACUAGUGGUUAGAGUGUAGAGGAGGCAGGUAGCCUAGUGGUUAGAGGAGGCAGGUAGCCUAGUGGUUAGAGUAAAGAGGAGGCAGGUAGACUAGUGGUUAGAGUGUAGAGGUGGCAGGUAGCCUAGUGGUUAGAGUGUAGAGGAGGCAGGUAGACUAGUGGUUAGAGUGUAGAGGAGGCAGGUAGACUAGUGGUUAGAGUGUAGAGGAGGCAGGUAGCCUAGUGGUUAGAGUGUAGAGGAGGCAGGUAGACUAGUGGUUAGAGUGUAGAGGUAGUCUAGUGGUUAGAGUGUAGAGGAGGCAGGUAGACUAGUGGUUAGAGUGUAGAGGAGGCAGGUAGUCUAGUGGUUAGAGGAGGCAGGUAGCCUAGUGGUUAGAGUAGGCCGUAAUUGUAAAUAAGAAUUUGUUCUUAACGGACUAGUUAAAUACUGGUUAAAUGAAUAAACAUGUAAAGUCUGACUGUGUCCUGGCUCUAGCUGUGGUGUGUUGGGAGCGGUUAGAGUUGGGUUGUCUGCUGGUCGUUGUCUCUCCAUCACUCUCACUGGAGCUCACAAUACGCUGGGCCUUCCGACCAGCACGCCUCAACAAUGGCUUCCUAAAACACACACACAGGUCAGAUAGAGACAGACGGGUCAGAUCG
ensembl:lncRNA